rnacentral:rRNA from 1 species
AACGAACGCUAUCGGUAUGCUUAACACAUGCAAGUCGGACGGACUAAUUAAGGCUUGCUCCCAUUAGUUAGUGGCAGACGGGUGAGUAACACGUGGGAAUCUGCCCAUCAGUACGGAAUAACUUUUAGAAAUAAAAGCUAAUACCGUAUAUUCUCUACAGAGGAAAGAUUUAUCGCUGAUGGAUGAGCCCGCGUCAGAUUAGGUAGUUGGUGAGGUAACGGCUCACCAAGCCGACGAUCUGUAGCUGGUCUGAGAGGAUGAUCAGCCACACUGGGACUGAGACACGGCCCAGACUCCUACGGGAGGCAGCAGUGGGGAAUAUUGGACAAUGGGCGAAAGCCUGAUCCAGCAAUACCGAGUGAGUGAUAAAGGCCCUAGGGUUGUAAAGCUCUUUUAGCAAGGAAGAUAAUGACGUUACUUGCAGAAAAAGCCCCGGCUAACUCCGUG